CAAGUAUAGCAGGAACAAAACACUGGGCAAUUGUCAUUGUUACCUGCUGAUCCCAAAGGCUCCGCAGGUAUAUGAAGGACAAUCAGUUCAUCACUGCGUCACUUUGACGAAUUGAUACGAGAUCAGCCGAUUCACAUGUCUCCAAGUUUUCAAUUAUCGCCGGGAAUGUCUUGCACUGAGAGACGAAUUAAUAAAAAAUGUUAACAAUAAAUUGAUGUUGCAAAUGAAAACACGCGAAUACAACCACAAACUGCAACACAAAAAACUUUAUCAUCAGUACAAUCACAUGCCUAUGUUCCAUAAUUUUAUGGUAAUGAAAAUUCAUGAGCAGGUGAUCCUACGAAUAAAUGACUUCUCUACAUGCUUGAAAGAGAUUUCUGCAGUUUAACUAUUAAUCUUUGAAUAAUAAUGAUAGAAAAUGGAAAAAUUACGACAUUAAUUCAUUCUUCAGAAAUUACAGAAGUACAUAAAAUGAGCUACUCUAUGUACAUUUUAAAUACUUCUACAUUAGUGAAUACGAAGAAAAAAUAACUGCUUCUGGUGAAUUUGUACAGGCAAAUGUAUGGACGGGAAUAUUUACAUCGAAAUAUCUGGAUUUUAAGCUCCAACAGAAGGCGCCACAAUGUCUAAUUUUCUCUCAUAAAACAACUUGCAAUUGUGCAUCGAGUACCGCUAUAUCCUCAUGUAGCCCACACGCAUCCAAUUAUCAUCGUAACGCUUUCAUUUCACUAAUGCAAAAACGCCUAAUGCGUAUAAAAUUGAGUAAAACUCGGAGAAUAGCAAAUCAUCUACCUGCAAUUGGACGAGAGCCGCAAUAAAGAAAGGAGAUUAACAAUUCUUGGGAUAAAUUUAAUCCGACAACUCAUGAAUGAUUAAUCACAUUUUUUUUUAAGGAGACGCAUAAAAAAAACAACAAAACGCUGAUUGGAGGCCAUUGACAGCUCUGAUAAGGAAAAAUGUAUUUGGGAAUUUGAAGAGUAAAAAAUGUGGCAUUACUCGAUGUAUUUAUCAGUAAUAAUCCGCUGUUUAAAAAAUUAAUUGGUAUGCUGAAAUUUCAUCGGAUAAUCUACAACAAAUUCUUUUGCAAUUCUAUAGAAUGGAGACGCAAUUUGAAAAUUUUAUAGAUUUUUAAUAAAAAAUUGAAAUUAAAAUUUGUUUAUUCACGUUUUUGCCACUGGAUAUUGAUUUUUUGCGCAAUGUGCAUAAUAGAAUCUGAUUGGACAGAAACCUUGAACACUUAUGCGCUUCUCAUCGAAGAAAAAUCAAUAAACAUUCCAAAACUUCUCCUAGAAUAUUCGAUAAAAUCCCCACAAAAAAAACUACAUAACAGAUUUUUCCAUUCAAAUUCCAGUGAAAAUUUUAUCGAAAUCGAAUUGUACUUUACUAUAUUAUUAUUAUUAACUCCAUGUGUAGCCAAUGAUAUUUUUUGCGUAUUAAAUAGAGCUAUAAAUUGUAAACAAUAAUUGUUAUAAUAGUUUAAAAAUGGGUAGAAUUUUUUAAGAAAAGUUGAUGGUAAUUUUGAGAAAAUUCUGUGGAUUUUUGGAUAAAUAUUUUUUUUGUGCGGUGAAAAAAUAAAAUAUAGAAAGACCUGACAUGGACUUGUGCCGGAAAUUCAGCCAAGGGACGUACGGCUGAUCGAAACCAGGACUCUCGCUGUGAAAAGCCAGUAUUUACCGGUGGUAAAAACACCGGCAGUAAAAACAGCGGCAGUAAAAGCGCCGGUUUUCAUAGUGAAAACGCCGGGUUUUCUAGGUAAGACAGGCCCCACUAAUGGUCUCACGUAAAACUGUUCCCUUUUUUCAGUACAAGAAUAGAUUCUUCCCUUUAAAUAUCGGAUACCAAAAGAGACAAUUUUUUGAGAAUAUCAAUAUCUCAUUUUUUAUAUUUUUUUAAUAAAUUUUUGGA